rnacentral:lncRNA from 1 species
AGAAUAGCCACCAGGCUCCACAGGACCUUCAUCGCCAGCUUUGCUGACUGCUACACAACCAAGAAGAUUGGAGAUGAUUAAAGGAGCAGUUGUGGAGUUGAGCCUUGCCGAUUAUUGUGGAAGACUGGAGACUCAGACUGAUGGAGUGUUUCUAAAACUAGACUCUCACAUCAUUUUAUGAAUGCAGAAAGCCAAGAAGAGCGGAUGUUGAGUGGUUGCCAGAGUGAAAUGAGCAAGCUCCGCUGCCA